CCUGGGGGCCUUAAAUAUGCUAAAAGGACCAGAUCCCAUCUGGUCUUGGAAGCUAAGCGGGGUCGGACCUGCUUAGUAUUUGGAUGGGAGACUGCUAAUGCAUACCAGGUGCUCUAGGC
rnacentral:rRNA from 1 species